rnacentral:rRNA from 1 species
AAAGGAAUUGACGGGGACCCGCACAAGCGGUGGAGCAUGUGGUUUAAUUCGACGCAACGCGAAGAACCUUACCAGGCCUUGACAUCGUGAUGACCGCUCUAGAGAUAGAGUUUUCCCUUCGGGGACAUCAUAGACAGGUGGUGCAUGGUUGUCGUCAGCUCGUGUCGUGAGAUGUUGGGUUAAGUCCCGCAACGAGCGCAACCCUUGUCGUUAGUUACUACCAUUAAGUUGAGGACUCUAGCGAGACUGCCAGUGAUAAACUGGAGGAAGGUGGGGAUGACGUCAAAUCAUCAUGCCCCUUAUGGCCUGGGCUACACACGUGCUACAAUGGCUAGAACAAAGAGAAGCGAAGCAGUGAUGUGAAGCAAAUCUCAAAAACCUAGUCUCAGUUCGAAUUGUAGGCUGCAACUCGCCUACAUGAAGUCGGAAUCGCUAGUAAUCGUGAAUCAGCAUGUCACGGUGAAUACGUUCCCGGGUCUUGUACACACCGCCCGU